rnacentral:sRNA from 1 species
GCUGCCCGCACCUGCACCCGCGCGUCGGCGGCGCCGAAGCCCCGCUCCCCGCCUGCGCGUCUCUCUCGUCCGCAUCUCCGCGCUCAUCUUCCCCGACCUGGUGGAGGGGCUGGUGCUGGUGAACAUCGACCCCAAUGGCAAAGGCUGGAUAGACUGGGCUGCCACCAAGCUCUCCGGCCUAACUAGCACUUUACCCGACACAGUGCUCUCCCACCUCUUCAGCCAGGAGGAGCUGGUGAACAACACAGAGUUGGUGCAGAGCUACCGGCAG